UGAACACAAACACCCCGGAGUUGAAGCAGUCGGGCCAGCCGGGGUCCGGAGCUGCCGACAGCUCGUCUCUGUGGAACAGCUCGUCCACGUUACACAGGACCUGAGGGGGGACCCCGCCCAUCAGGACUCACCAGUGUGUCGGCAUCCAGGAACACACACUUGCUGUACUGGGUCAGAGUCCAGCAGUGGAUCUUGGUGAAGGUGAUGCCCAGCUCAGGACGUCCCAGCAGGGACAGGUUGAGACGGUCCUCACUGUCCAUCACGUCCACGGUGAUCACCUCGUCGAAGACACUCUGCAGGGCCAGCCUGGUGACGACAUACAUGACACGGACAUUGGAGUUUUUCAGGACAUAUGGACCGGUCAGAACUUAUUUUUCUGAUGAAACCCGUGAACGACAGGGUUAACGACAGGUAACCCUAACCCAACCCUAACCCAAGGAGAAAAUAAUACAAGCGAUGCUGUAGCAACUGGUAAAAAUCACUAACAUAACAAGUGAGUCACAGCAUGUUAGCCAACAUACUUACAUACUUAUAUACCUUAUUGUCAACCGUCUUACACUCUCAUAUGAUUUCUGAAUAAACCCUUUAACUGUUUUGUGUGUGUGGUUUGCAGAACUAAUGCCCCUAACAUGAAAGCACACUAUUUCACUUCCCUCAAAACAACGAGAAUAGAUGAAUAAGAUGUGGUCAGAUUGGAAUGUGUCAGCGUUGCCGUGACAGUAAAUACAUGUUUUGCAGUUCUCUUGAGGCACUAAACUUGAAUGAGUCAGACACGAAAAACAAAGGAAGGAAACUACAUCAAGAUUCAAAACUACAUCCAGUGUUCAGAGGCAUUUAUAUGUAUAUCUAACACAAAUAUUCAUACUAUAUUGUAUUAAGCGUAAUUGAACCAAUGUGAUGUUAGGUCUCACCUCCUCCUGGGCCUUCAUCGGGCUUGUAGCCAUCACCACCAGCAUCAGCUAAGUCGUUGAUAUCGAAAGUUCCUCCACCUUUUAGAAAAAUACAAUUUAACCAUUAAAGUUGACAUUUAUUAGGAUAAACCUGCUGUACUCUGACUCCACAUGGGAUUAAGAUAACAAAGAAUAUCAGCAGAUGUGUCCUUUUAACAGCCAUUUAAAUUCAGUUUAAAGACGUAAUAAAUGAUAUGUGUGGACUGACUGACCUCCUCCGCUGGGUGGUGGGUUCACUACAGGUUUGUCAGGUUUGGGGUUGGGGUCUGUGGGCACAAAUCAAUCAUUAAGGACAUACAGCAAGAAAGCAGGCCAGAAAUCAACAUGAGUGAGUUUGAGAAUAUACAGCAUUUUGUUUAUCAGUGUCUUUGCACAAAAGGACUGUACUGUCUAUGAAAA